UGGGAGUGAGAAUGUUGGCAUGAGUAGCGAGAUGUGGGUGAGAAUCCCACAGGCCGUAAACCCAAGGUUUCCAGGGGAAGGUUCGUCCGCCCUGGGUUAGUCGGGACCUAAGCUGAGGCCGAAAGGCGUAGGUGAUGGACAACAGGUUGAUAUUCCUGUACUACCGAUAACCGUUUGAGAGAAGGGAUGACACAGUAGGAUAAGCUAAGCACACUGUUGGUUAUGUGUGCCCAAGCAUUGAGGCAGUCAAAGCAGGCAAAUCCGCUUUGAUAAUGCUGGGAUGUGAUGGGGAGCGAAAUUUAGUAGCGAAGUAGCUGAUUUCACACUGUCAAGAAAAGUCUCUAUCGAGGUUAAAGGUACCCGUACCGCAAACCGACACAGGUGGGUGAGGAGAGUAUCCUAAGGCCAGCGAGAGAACUGUUGUUAAGGAACUCGGCAAAAUGACCCCGUAACGUAGGGAUAAGGGGGGCAACAACCGGGUGGCCGCAGAGAGGAGGCGCA
rnacentral:rRNA from 1 species